AGAAAUCCAGAGGGCAGAAUGCCUCCCUCUCUCUACUACAAAGAAACGUAGUCAGACAGGUCAGAGUGAAUGAACAACACACCUCGGUGUCUUCUGUAACAAAUCCCUGGCAACUAAGCUUCCUGACAACAAACAAAGGGACAAGUGCCAUUCAGCAGCCACUCCCGGCUGGUGUCAGGUCAGUGCCGGCCAGAGGCUCAAGUUUUUAUGGAAAGCAGGUUGCAAUGGCUUGGGCGGGAGAGUGUAAUUGAUGGACAGACUCAAGCACCUGAAGGCCAUUCAUUUGCCUCCGACCUCGAGCCUCUUAGCCAGGGAUACAGAGAGGAGGAGGAAGAGGAGGAGGAGGUGAGUUCUGUCUGUUUCCUCUUGAUUUCCCUCUCUAAAAGAGCUGAGUUUUCUUCAUCUGCUGCCUUGGGAACUCAGCCGGGCCCUUCUGCCGGAGCAGGACGUGCAUGGUGGGUUUGGUUUCCUGGGCAGCAGGCUGAGUCUGCAGGAUGGUUAUUGAAGAACAAUGGAGGAGGAAGCUGGAGCGGCUGCGGGAGAGCCUGGCCAGGGAAGCCCUCAGAGCUGUCCUGAGUGGGCUGGGGCGGCCAGCCCUGGUCUCUCGUCAGCACAGGCCUUUGGCUGUGGCCCCUCAGAGGAGGGUGUCGCUGUGGGCAGGGCCCUUUGCAGCUAAGCCAGCUGCCAGCGGCAGUGCCAUGCCUGGAACGUGGAGGCAGCUGCUCACUUUGCUGAAUGAAUGUAGGAGGGAGGCAAAGGGAAGG